rnacentral:misc_RNA from 1 species
UCUCCGUAGGUGAACCCGCGGAAGGAUCAUUAAUGAGUUGUCAUGGGGUUCGAUGCUGGCAGCCAGUUUUUGGAUGCAUGUGCUUGCCCUAACAAUCAUCUUCUUCCAAACACCUGUGCACAUUUUUGAGGGAGUCUUGAGUUGGUUGCCGCUCUUGGGUGAUUUUCUCACAUUCCCUUAAAUCAUUAUACGCUAUUAACAAUGUUGAACGUGCUCUGUGCCGCAAGGCCAUUAAUAUAAUACAACUUUUAACAACGGAUCUCUUGGCUCUC